UCAUGGCUCAGUAUUGAACGCUGGCGGCAGGCCUAACACAUGCAAGUCGAGCGGGGUUUCGGACCUAGCGGCGGACGGGUGAGUAAUGCGUAGGAAGCUACCCGACAGAGGGGGAUACCAGUUGGAAACGACUGUUAAUACCGCAUAAUGUCUACGGACCAAAGUGUGGGACCUUCGGGCCACAUGCUGUCGGAUGCGCCUACGUGGGAUUAGCUAGUUGGUGAGGUAAUGGCUCACCAAGGCGACGAUCCCUAGCUGGUUUGAGAGGAUGAUCAGCCACACUGGAACUGAGACACGGUCCAGACUCCUACGGGAGGCAGCAGUGGGGAAUAUUGGACAAUGGGCGCAAGCCUGAUCCAGCCAUGCCGCGUGUGUGAAGAAGGCCUUCGGGUUGUAAAGCACUUUCAGCGAGGAGGAAGGGAGUUGUGUUAAUAGUACAGCUUCUUGACGUUACUCGCAGAAGAAGCACCGGCUAACUCUGUG
rnacentral:rRNA from 1 species